rnacentral:rRNA from 1 species
AUUGAACGCUGGCGGCAGGCCUAACACAUGCAAGUCGAGCGGAUGAAGGGAGCUUGCUCCUGGAUUCAGCGGCGGACGGGUGAGUAAUGCCUAGGAAUCUGCCUGGUAGUGGGGGAUAACGUCCGGUAACGGGCGCUAAUACCGCAUACGUCCUGAGGGAGAAAGUGGGGGAUCUUCGGACCUCACGCUAUCAGAUGAGCCUAGGUCGGAUUAGCUAGUUGGUGGGGUAAAGGCCUACCAAGGCGACGAUCCGUAACUGGUCUGAGAGGAUGAUCAGUCACACUGGAACUGAGACACGGUCCAGACUCCUACGGGAGGCAGCAGUGGGGAAUAUUGGGCAAUGGGCGAAAGCCUGAUCCAGCCAUGCCGCGUGUGUGAAGAAGGUCUUCGGAUUGUAAAGCACUUUAAGUUGGGAGGAAGGGCAGUAAGUUAAUACCUUGAUGUUUUGACGUUACCAACAGAAUAAGCACCGGCUAACUUCGUG